GGUGGGCGUGUCUGGGCGGGGCUAAUGCCUGGAUGCCCCGCCCAGGCCCUUCUACUCAUUAGCGCCAAGGCGACGUUUACUACUCCAGUUUUCGACCCCGAAGCCCUCCCAGCCCACCUGCUGUUUUCCAGAGCUGAGGGAGCUCGGUAAUGUCCCAAGUUCUCCAGAAGAACACCCAGGCUGUGAACCCACCUAGAUGAGACUGGGGACGGAGAGAGAGUAAAAGAAACCUAAGCAAACAAGAAAGGUCAAACAAGAUUCAGUGUGUUCAUGAAAUAAGAUGGACAGCGUGAUUCCAGUUGUCAUCGGCGCUAGGAGGCGACCGCUGGAGCUGUCAGCAAGGGGUCCCCGGGAAUUGAUGGGAAAGGACAGUAUCUAUUAUCAUACUUAAAAUUUUCUGGUCAGCGGAUUUCUGCUUUGCUUCCCUUCCUCCGCUGGUUCCUUAACCUGCUUUUCAUACUUCAUUUAGCACGUUUAAAUAAAAAGUCGAAGUGACUGUCUUUUAAACUGA